rnacentral:ncRNA from 1 species
UUUAAUAUAUAAAUUGGGAAGAGUAAGUUCAAAUUGUUUUAAAGAGAGCAUGUGGUUUGGUGUGAAUAUGCAAAUGAUUUUUACUGAAGGUAGCCCACAGAGUAUCUUAGUUGAACAUGAUUGAUAGAGUAGGCUAAGACGUGUUUGAGCGUUAAUCAUAAUCUAGAGUGCUUGAAGAGAUAGCUUAUUUCAAAUUUCCUGCUGUCAGCGUUAGUAUACUAACUUCGAUUUAGCUGAUAAUCAGUGUUUGAUUUGUAGCAUCCUUCUUGAAUAUAGGUGGUACCACGGAAUAUCCGUCCUAUUG